UAGGUGGCUGAGAAUAGGCGAUAGAUUGUAAAUCUAUUUACGGGGGCUUCCCUCUAAUCA
rnacentral:tRNA from 1 species